UUAAAACCUGACUGCGCUUGCGUAGACCUUGCUUUCUGACUGUCCGAAGAAAGCGCCUCCGGGUAGACCACGCCCACACACAGCCGGGAAGGCCACGCCCAUACGCGGAAGCGAGCAGGAGGCGAGGCCUCCGAAGGAAGGGAGCGAAUUGGAGCUGUGUCACCUGACCGGCCCUUGAAGCUCGUCCGCGCCAUUUUCGUUACUGAGAGUCUGUUCCUUUGUUUCUGUGUUUGGGUUUGAUAAAAUCCAACUCCACGAGUGGCUUUUGAACUUGGAAUAGUGGCAAUCUGCUCAAGCUCCAGAUAAAGGGAAACCUAAUUUGCAUUCUUUCCGUGUCUGCCGAAAGACUCAGAAACGGAUUUCCAGGACUCAGGAAGCCAAAUACCAAGUGUAGGAGAGAAAAAGCAGCAUUUUCCUUACCAAUCUUAAGCCUGA
ensembl:lincRNA Gm44077 predicted gene, 44077